GCCCGGGUACCCCAACUGGCAGAGGGAAUCGGCUCAAACCCGACUCAGUGUGGGUUCGAAUCCCACCCCGGGCA
rnacentral:tRNA from 1 species